CUUUAUUACAUCAUGUUCACGAUAUGGCUAGAUGUAGAGUAGUAUAAUAAAUACAUUUAUGUAAAAGAAUGGGCAUCCCUCUUUAGUGUUUUAAGCGCCAUUUCUUGGUGUCUCCCCUUCUUGGUUAUAUGUUGUGCUUCGGAAGACUCAUUUUAGUUUACGACUACCACCUCUGCACUCCUUCUCCUUCUCACAACCUCUGUUAUAAGAGU
rnacentral:lncRNA from 1 species